rnacentral:rRNA from 1 species
AGUGAAUGCUAGGGGUAUGCUUAACACAUGCAAGUUGAACGGAACACUUGUUUAGUAGCGCACGGGUGAGUAAUAUAGGAGAACCAAGCACUAAGUUCGGAACAAGAGAUACGUCUGUAUAAAUGCCGGAUAUUGAAAGAUUUAUCGCUUAGUGUGGGGCUCCUAUGGGAUUAGGUUGUUGGUUGUGUAAUGGACAACCAAGCCGGUGAUCCCUACGUUGGUCUGAGAGGAUGAUCAGCCACACUGGGACGUGAAACAAAGGCCCACGACUUCCACUGGAGGGCGAGCAGUGAGGAGGUAUUGGACAAUAGGGCGGCAAGACUUG